CGGCACCAUUCAGUUAAGCUGCGGCGAAUUGCCCUUCUUCGGAGAAGUUCCGUUGCCGCUGCUUGCGGCGAUACGUGCAAGUUCAUCGUCACCUAAUUGCGCGACUUCAUGCCGGAUUACCUGUUCGGUCUUGUCGCGCCACAAAUCAGGACGGCGGUUUUUCAGCCAGAAGAUCAUCGCCGUUGUGUCGGGCGGGACAUGCUCANACGGCGUCGCCGUCACCACGCCCUGGAAUGAGCUGAAGUGAAUAGCAUCGUAAGUGUAGCCAGUGGCUUUCUGAUACAGACUGCGCUCAACGCGGUCGUCUGCCUCGUCCUUGCCCCCUUUUAGGGCCUGCAAAAACUCCGGCUGAUACGAUUUCCAGUUGGAAAUGGUGCGUAUAGCGACGCCAAAGAAGUCAGCCAAGUCCUCGUCGGUUGCACCUAGGGCACAAAGCUUCUUGGCCUGCUCG
rnacentral:misc_RNA from 1 species